GGUAUCCUUCCCCAGUGUGGAAGCUUUAGUUCUUUUGCUCUUUGCAAUGAAUCUUGCUGCUGCUCACUCUUUGGGUCCACGCUGCGUUUACACUGUGUUUAUGAGCUGUAACACUCACCACAAAGGUCUGCAGCUUCACUCCUGAAGCCAGCAAAGACCACGAACCCACCAGGAAGAAGGAACAACUCCAGACACGCAGCCUUAAGAGCUGUAACACUCACUGCCAAGGUCUUCAGCUUCACUCCUGAGCCAGCCAGACCAUGAACCCACCAGAAGGAAAAAACUCGGAACACAUCCCAACAUCAGAAGGAACAAACUCUGGACAUGCCGCCUUUAAGAACUGUAACAACGCAAGGGUCCGCGGCUUUAUUCUUGAAGUCAGUAAGACCAAGAACCCAAUUCCGGACACGUUUGGACCGCCCACAAGGGCAAGACUUCAUGAGGUUCUGGUGACCAAGCAUGCUCAUCGCUGUCCUGGGACUGCUCCAAGUGCAAUUCAAAGAUGUUUGUUACAAAUGAAGAUCCUCUCCUCAGAGAUCCUCAUUCCCUGCAUUUGAGAUGGGCCCUGGGAACCUUCAUUAUUAACUCCUGAAUUUCACUUGGACCAACACGGUGAUGGUGACAAGCCCAGCAGAUGGAAAGGCAGCUCAACAUCUGAGAAGCCAGUCUUACUCCCUGCAGGCAACAGCUGCUUCCAGAAAACAGCCCUAUUACUUCACCAAAGUACAGUUCCUACAGGAAGAUAAUGAUCUGACCUAACCUACUAUUGGCUGAAGGAAGGAGAAAAGCAGCUGAAGAUGUCUGUUGAGUGAUUACCCUCAUAAUCCGUGACUAAGAACAUCCAAAUCAGCAUGGCUUCUUCCUGUCUGAAAUUAUUACUACUUAGGGUUUUUCACGUGUUAUUUCAUUUAUUGAUUAUUCUGUUUUAAACUUGCAAGACGUAUUGUCUCUUCAGAAAUAAAACUUUAUCACUUGCUUCAUC
rnacentral:lncRNA from 1 species